rnacentral:rRNA from 1 species
AACGAACGCUGGCGGCGUGGUUUAGGCAUGCAAGUCGAGCGAGAAAGUCCUUCGGGACGAGUACAGCGGCGAAAGGGUGAGUAAUAUAUAGGUAACCUACCUCUUGGACUCGGAUAAUUCCUGGAAACGGGUUGUAAUACGAGAUCGUCCUAUUGGGUCGCAUGGCCCGACUGGUAAAUGGUAGCUCUGCUUCUGCCGAGAGAGGGGCCUAUAUCCUAUUAGCUAGUUGGUGAGGUAAUGGCUCACCAAGGCUUUGAUGGGUAGCCGGACUGAGAGGUUGGCCGGUCACACUGGGACUGAGACACUGCCCAGACUCCUACGGGAGGCUGCAGUCGAGAAUCUUCCGCAAUGGGCGAAAGCCUGACGGGGCGACGCCGCGUGAACG